rnacentral:rRNA from 1 species
UACGGGGGGGGCAAGCGUUGUUCGGAAUUACUGGGCGUAAAGGGCUCGUAGGUGGCCAACUAAGUCGGACGUGAAAUCCCUCAGCUUAACUGGGGAACUGCGUCCGAUACUGGAUGGCUUGAAUCCGGGAGAGGGAUGCGGAAUUCCAGGUGUAGCGGUGAAAUGCGUAGAUAUCUGGAGGAACACCGGUGGCGAAGGCGGCAUCCUGGACCGGCAUUGACGCUAAAGCGCGAAAGCCAGGGGAGCAAACGGG